UGGCUAGGUUAGUCCCCUGUUAAAUCCACCGAAUUAAUCGUUGGAUUGCGGGGGAUACUGCUUGGCUAGGGGACGAGAGAGGCAGACGGUAUUUCCGGGGUAGGGGUGAAAUCCUAUAAUCCCGGGAAGACCACCAGUGGCGAAGGCUGUCUGCUAGAACGCGCCCGACGGUGAGGGAUGAAAGCUGGGGGAGCGAACCGGAUUAGAUACCCGGGUAGUCCCAGCUGUAAACGAUGCAGACUAGGUGUUUGGACGGCCACGUGCCGUUCUAGUGCCGCAGGGAAGCUGUUAAGUCUGCCGCCUGGGGAGUACGAUCGCAAGAUUGAAACUUAAAGGAAUUGGCGGGGGAGCACCACAAGGGGUGAAGCUUGCGGUUUAAUUGGAGUCAACGCCGGAAAUCUCACCGGGAGCGACAGCAGUAUGAAGGCCAGAUUAAAGGUCUUGCCAGACGAGCUGAGAGGAGGUGCAUGGCCGUCGCCAGUUCGUGCCGUGAGGUGUCCUGUUAAGUCAGGCAACGAUCGAGACCCGCGUCCACUGUUGCAACUAGCUUUGUGCUGGGCACACUGUGGAGACCGCCACUGAUAAAGUGGAGGAAGGAGCGGGCCACGGCAGGUCCGCAUGC
rnacentral:rRNA from 1 species